rnacentral:sRNA from 1 species
AAAGGUACCCAGGCUUUAUGCGGGUGGCGCUUUCAGAGCCCCAGCCGGAGAGGAGGUUUUUCCGUCGUGGCUGGGUGACCUUCGACCGCAGUGUUAACAUUAAAGAGAUCUGUUGGAACCUGCAGAACAUCCGUGUGAGUGCUGGGGGUGGGACUGUGGGGAAGAGGAAGGGAGACUCUCUGUGCCACACGGGACCUCUGCGUGACUUUGUUCAUUUGAUAGUCUGGUUGUUCUGCACACUCUUUGACCGUUUUGUCUGCCUACAUUGUCUCUGGGCAAGGCUCUAGGGCAUUAGCAUGGACGGGACCUAUGUGGUCCCCGUCCCCAGGGAGCUUGCAGUCUGAUCAAUCGCUGGUGCUCAAGAGGGGAGGGUCUUAGAG